CGCAGCGCCUGGCUCUGCGCGCCGCGCAGCGGAGCGCGGCCUGGGGGAGCCGGGAGGCGCCUGCGGCUGAGCCCUGCCGGGUCACUCUGGAGUGAGGGGCCCUGGCGGGGGCGGGCUGCAGGUCGGAAGCGAGGGGCACCGGUAGCACACGGAGAGGUAGGUAGCGGCGGGUCUGAAAUGAGGGGACCUGCGGCCGGAGGGCCGCCUUCCCUUGUCACGGGCCCCGCGGGGCUCAGGCCAGGGCCCCUCCGCUGGGGGCUGCCGGCGCUCAGGCCUUGGGAGCUUUGCGAGCUGCUGUCACAGGACGGCCACAGGAUGUCACCGCGCUCUGGGACGGAGUAGCGGGUCCCGCUCUUCACCAAGAAUCAAGUAGCUUAAUAAUAAAUCAACUUGCAGCCAAACCGGACGGAGUUGUCCGCAGUGCGCUGGAGCCCGGCUGAAAUCCCCCUGCAUGGCCACAGCGUGAGCAGCGACACGUGCAAUAACGUGUCGCCGGGAGCGGGGGCGGUCAGGGUGCUCUAAGGGUGACUCCAGGAACAGGAGGGAGAAAAGCAGAUUGCCCACCGAGCCCAGCUGCUGUCGGGAGGAGCCCGCAGGGACCUCCGCACUUCCCGCAGCCCACGAGGGGCUGUCAGUCAGCCCGGGCUCCCCGCUCGUGUCCCCACAGCGCCGCUCACGAGCCUGAGCGGGGACCCGGGGCCGGGGGCUGGGGCAGAGCAGGGGCGGGGCAGGGUAGCUCUGCCCUUCACUGGCCUCAGCCGGGGGGGGCGGGGUCACCGUUCUGUGUGCCGAUUGGUCAGACUCCGAUCCUAGCGGUCCCAUUCCACUGGCCAGGGACGGGGUGUGCGCGGCCGGGAACAGGGGAUCCGGAUGGCAUGCGGGGCAGGGCAGGGGGGCUGCUGGACCGGGGGGCCUUAGCCGAAGCCCGCCUGCCCCGCUUCCGGCCCGGUGCUGCCUACGGGCUCCGUUCGGAGAUGUGUCCUUGCUAACAAAAUUUGCACGGAAUUCCCCCUUUUUUUAAAGCGGAAAAGAAAUGAAAUCCCGUUGUUUAGUAAGCGCGGAAAGCAAUCGCUUCAGUGCUGGAGAGUUUUGGUCCUUCUUGUCAUACACGUCGCAUUUUGAGAAGAGGCGUCGAAGUGACGGUCGAAGAACUUGAGAUUGCAGAGAUGUAUAUACUGUGUGCGUGUGCGUGUGUAGGAUACAUACUGGAAUACGCGCGGUGAUCUGACUACGCCCUCUUAGCUAAGGGGAAAUCGAUCGGUUCCCUUCUGACCGCUGUGUGCCGAGUGCCUCCGAGCUGGUCACCCAGGAUGCUGAAUCCCUUGCUGAAAAGGCAUUAGUGGCAGACGUCGCUUGACUUGGCUUUCCAGGAGUCAAGUGUCGGAGAUUGGACUGGCCACCUGAGGCUGCAGCCCCAAAUCCCAUGAAACUGGUCCCCUUUGGGGGGUCUGUGCACGUCGUCCCCGGAAGCUCAAGCAGACGAGAUGGCAGACAAGUAGGAGCGAGCUCACUGGGAGGGAAGAAAACCAGGCCAGAGUAACAGGAGGCAAAGCCGGUCUCGGUCUCUGUUCUUCGAGAUGCCAGAAGAACUGGAAGGAGAAGCGGAUGGGGAAGCAGCGGGGAAGAGAUGAGGUUAGCUGUUGAGCCAUCUCUUUUCAAGAGAGAAACCUCCAACCGCAGCAGAGAGCCCCGCAGGCCCCGCGCCCUGGGCAACGCAGUCUCCCGCACCACCCGCCGUGGUCGCCACAACAGCUGUCGCAGCGCUCCGGGGCCGCCCGCCGGUCCGCGUGGGCUCCGCGCGCCGCGCACAGACACACAGCUGACGUCAUGGGCGUCCAGCCUGAGUAUGAAGGCAAAUCCGGCUCCGUGCUGCCCUCCGGUGGUGCGCUCCGAGCACUGCAGCCCCGAGCAGCGGCGCACAGGAGGGAAGACGAACCCGCUGUUCCGUGCGGCCCUCCGGUGGUCCCGUCGGGGCAUCUCCGCUCGGUGUGAAAUAGUAUAAAACUGAGAACAGGGAGCUGAAGUGAAGGUAUUAUUGGUUUCCUGCUUGCUUUGGAAAACUUACAUUGUACAGAAAUGUAUCCAGUACGGCUGUGUGUGUAUACCGAUAUGCAGAUGUGUGUGUGUGUAAUACACACCAUCAUUAAAACAAUUAUCUCUCCCUCUGUCUCUGUCCAUGGCGAUAGUGAUGUAGGUGUAAAACUCUCAGCCUUGCACAGCACCGCACACGAGUGUGUGUCGUU